AGAUAAUACAAAAUAAUGACGAAUAAACAGAAAAUGAAUAUAACUCUUCUAAAGCUCCGUCGCCCAUAUCCUGAAAAGGGAAAAACCUCGACAAGAGAAA